GAAUUUCCCGCGCGGAGCGGAAUCUCUCUUUGUCUUUUCUAAUUAGUUCCACCCGAGAAGUCACAAGACAAAGAAAAAUUCCGCUCCGCGCGGAAAAGUUUAAAUCUU